UUUGAAUUAUAUAUGUAAUUAAGUUUGUAUAUACGAGUAUGUAUGUAAAAAUAUAAGUGGUAUGAGAAAUAAAAACGAUCGCAGGAAGACUGGGGUGUAAAAACGUAAUCAGCUUUGUGAGGCGAAGUGGUACGCUGUGCGGGCUUGGAGCGUAUACAUAUAUUUAUGUAAAGGCAUGUUGGUGUGAGGAUCGGUGCUGUUUGCCGUGGCGGAUGGGUGUGGUGCGAAUACAGCGCAUGGGCGAAAUGAUACUCGAUGUUGAGCUCGCGAGCGGAGCAAGUAUGCAGUUGUGCGAACUACGAAAUUGAGCGGCAAAGCACAUUUCUCGCUCGGUGGAUGCGUCGCCUUUGGGACUCCGAGAAGCCUAACAUAAUUGAAGAGAGGCCAUUACACCUGACUUUGACUGAGCCUUACUUCUGUGAAAGCGACAACGGGGAGUCUAUCACUGUCAAUUCGGAGCGUAAUGGUCGUAUGAUAAUCGUUUUUAUUCGGAUUGAAAUUGAAGGACACGUGUUGCAAAGUAUGCGGUUCAACAAGGUGGAGCACACAAUACGAGCGAAUAUGGCUUUAUUAUUACGAGAACAAUUUUCCGACCGCGUAAUCUCUCAUCUUAGCAAAGUCAAUUAGCCACCCAGGCCGUGCGGUUAGACAGCGUUGGACUUUUUGUUGUCGGUCUACGCGAUAGACUCUUGAGCAGUUGAAAAUUAACAUUCGUCAAAUUAUCACUGAGUUGCCGUUACACGUAUGUGAUAAAAAGUGGUCGGAAAUUUCUUCAAAGUGAUCGAAGUUUGUGAAA